GCAUAUCAAUAAGCGGAGGAAAAGAAACCAACAGGGAUUGCCUCAGUAACGGCGAGUGAAGCGGCAACAGCUCAAAUUUGAAAUCUGGCCUCUUUGGGGUCCGAGUUGUAAUUUGUAGAGGAUGUUUCGGGCACCGCUCCGGUUUAAAUUUCUUGGAACAGAAUGUCAAAGAGGGUGAGAACCCCGUCUUGGACCGGCAGUAGGGCCCAUGUGAAACUCCUUCGACGAGUCGAGUUGUUUGGGAAUGCAGCUCAAAAUGGGUGGUAAAUUUCAUCUAAAGCUAAAUAUUGGCCAGAGACCGAUAGCGCACAAGUAGAGUGAUCGAAAGAUGAAAAGCACUUUGAAAAGAGAGUUAAACAGUACGUGAAAUUGUUGAAAGGGAAGCGCUUGCAACCAGACUUGCGCGCGGCGGUUCCCCCUUCCUUUUGGUUGGGUUAUUCCGCCGUGUCCAGGCCAACAUCGGUUCUGGGGGUCGGUUAAAGGCCUGGGGAAUGUAUCUACCCUUCGGGCGUAGACUUAUAGCCCCGGGUGUCAUGCGACCUCCCGGGACCGAGGAACGCGCUUCGGCUCGGAUGUUGGCGUAAUGGUUGUCAGCGACCCGUCUUGAAACACGGACCAAGGAGUCUAACAUCUAUGCGAGUGUUUGGGUGUCAAACCCGGAACGCGGAAUGAAAGUGAACGGAGGUAGGAAGCUUCGGCUGCACUAUCGACCGAUCCUGAUGUCUUCGGAUGGAUUUGAGUAAGAGCAUAGCUGUUGGGACCCGAAAGAUGGUGAACUAUGCCUGAAUAGGGUGAAGCCAGAGGAAACUCUGGUGGAGGCUCGCAGCGGUUCUGACGUGCAAAUCGAUCGUCAAAUUUGGGUAUAGGGGCGAAAGACUAAUCGAACCAUCUGGUAGCUGGUUCCUGCCGAAGU
rnacentral:rRNA from 1 species